ACAACCUCAAAUUUUUUUCAUUUCUAGAAUUAGUAUUGUAAAGAAAACUUAUAACGGAAAUAUAAAAAUGCAACAUCUCUUUUUUGGAUUUUUGAGUUACAACACAUUUUGUCAAAUAUAAAACAGAAAAUAACAAUAAUAAAAAGACUUGACAUUACUGUACAAAAGUAGAAAGUAAAAGACGACAUAAAACGAGGAACAUACUCAAAACAUAAAAAUAAAACAAAUCUCCUUAAGCAACUCCUGACUGAGCGAUCUUGACCGGAUGGUCACGGGGUGUCUGCCAUGCUCAAAUUUCGGUAAAUAAAUCUACACCUGUAUGAGAAAACUUUAACCAACACUAUGUGAGAUAAUAACACUCCUUAUUAGACACAUGCAAGACAUAAUUGGGACUAUUUUUGCAAAAUGACUUAUUUGGCCAAAAGGUGGCUAGAAGUGCAAAAUUUGGCUAAGACCCUGCAAAGCCAAGAACUUAAGAUUUACUAGGAAGACCGGACCCUAUGUGGGUUGCCUACGUAUCCCGCCCCGAGAUACGAGAAUCAGGUUCGCGUAGUUCGGGCAAAUUGGAUACGUGCGAGAAUAACAAAAAAAAACCACUAAUUCAUAGAAAUCACAUUUUUUUUUUGCUUUUUCUUGAAAAAUGACAAAACAUGCAAAAUCUUUUUGGAUUUUCUUUUUCUCUUUUUUUUUUGAUUUUUGAUUUUUGAAAAAUGAUGAAAAAGUGCAAAAUCUUUUUUUUGAAUUUUUCAUAUUUUUUCUUAAAAAUGUAACAAAAAACAUAACUAGACCCUACUUGCAUUAUUUUUCACACUUCCCCUUCUUUUUUUUCUUUUUUUUCUUCUUCUUUCUUUUUUCAUUGUUUUUUCCUUUUUUUUUUCUUUUUUUCAUUUCUUCAUUUACCCUCAUUUAUCAUUGAUCCGCCAAAUGACCCUUUUACCCUUGACUAAAUGCAACAUGUAGCACAUAAAAUGCAUCAGGAUGGUCUUUUUCAUUUUUGGUAUACCUGUCCUAGACAUACUCAACCCCUGUGUUGAGUCUCCAAAGUUAAAUGCACAUGAUGCAAGCAAACGUUCCUACUAGGGAUCCGGCAUGAGGUUUUGUUGUACUAGGUCCAAAACCUGGGUUUAUUGUUCUAGACCUGGCUUACCCGAGCGGACAGCUCGAGCCNNNNNNNNNNNNNNNNNNNNNNNNNGAAGUCACACGAAGAACACACUUCUUCAUGAUUUAGAAGACUCAGAGAGAAGAGGGAUUUCACAACAAUUUAUAUACAGUUCACGGAAUAUCAAAGCGGUAAAAUCAAUCAAUUAGCACAUUAGGCCCAAAUCAUGUAACAAAUUCAGAUAAUGGAUAAAGCCAACUAUAACAAUUAUUCUAAGCUCGAAUUCUUGAACCCUGAACUAGAGAUUCUGGGUUCGAUCCCCAGCAGAGUCGCCAGAGCUGUCACACCUCCUUUUUUACUACACCCCCGAAAGAGGGUAUAAAGGAGUUUUUCCAAUCAAAGGACAAUCGAAACGGGAUUUAUUAUAAAGAUUCAGAGUCGCCACUUGGGAGAUUUAUGGUGUCCCAAGUCACCAGUUGCAUUCCGAAUCGAGGAAAAUAUGACUCUAUUUAACAGUCCGCGAACCAGAAAUCCGAGUAAGGAAUUCUGUUAACCCGGGUGUAUUAGGCAUUCCCAGGUUCCGUGGUUCUAGCACAGUCGCUUAAACUAUUAUAAUUGGUCUAUUAUCUGAUUUUAAUACAAGUUUUAGCCUAUGGUACAUUUUUAACUUAUUAGCCUCUUUUGAUUAUUUUUAAGGAAGACUUCAACGUCAUCUAAAACACGUCUUUGGACCACGCCACAUGAAAUGCACCCGCAGUCCGAGACACAUUUUAUUUAACAUUGUUGAGAUUUUGGAGUUGGAUCACAUGAAAUGCACACCCAAAUUUAAUAAAUAAGGAAAACAAUUUAAAUAGCGCACUUAAAACAACUACGCACUUUCAAAUUUAAAGCAAGCUUUGUGAGGGCCACGGAAAUCUAAGAAUGACACACCUCAACUAAUUAAAGGAACUAGCUAAUUGAUUAAAAGGCUAAAGGAAUUUCCACUUUAUUUUAAGCACAUAUUUAAACUAAACUAAAAAAAAAAUAGCUAGCACUAAACAAUUUGGAUUAAAGAACAUGGCUUGUGUUUUCGACGCCAACUUGAAUUGUGACUACAAUUGAUUGGACCUAUAAAACUUUACAGAUUAUUACCAAGAGAUUGGAGUCAAAAUCACCCAAAACCUAUCUGACUAACUCUUACCAAACUAAUAAGAUGCAAUAGAGAAACCCCAAUACAAAGAAAAGAAGCACCUAUAAGGAAUUUGAGUAGAGAAAGCAAAUAUGGUAUUCAGGUGAUGGAGACCACAGUGGUCUUCCCAGAGCUUGGAGGUCCCAAAAGCAAAGUCAUUCUACAUGGCUUAAUCAUACCAUUUACAUCUUUGAGAAUUGUAAUUUGCCUCUUUUUACUACGUAGGAUGAAAUGCAACAGACGAGCAACUAGCAACACACUUGUGAACUCAACUGAUUUCCGUAUAUGAAAACUCGAGCAACAGUAUAUAUUUCUCAAGUGCAAAAUUAGAUCAAAUAAAAUCACAUGGUUAACUAGUGGUAUUAUACACCCGUUUUCAAGCUCAGAUGGUGACUUUAACAUUGAAUAAACUCCCACAAGAUCUAACAAGCAUUUUACCAAACAGAUUUCAUACAAUAGACACUCAACCAUAAAUCCAUCUUAGUUAUAAGAUUCAAAAGAUGAAAUGGAAAUAAGCACCGGAAACUUACACAAAUAGAGCAACGGUUUUCUGAUUAACCGAAUCGCAGCAAUUACAUGGACUGAAACAGAGUAACGGUUACAACCGGAAAUCAACACAGCUUCAAACGAAUCGGCAAAAUCGAACCAGAAUCUCGGAUCAGAACAACAAACCGCACCUCAAAUAGAAACUUAGAUUACGCAUCAAUCGCACCUCAAAAAUGAAAUCACGAACUGAAUUCCAUGAUUGAAAGCCACAUCAAGGAAGAGGAAAUUCCAGAAUAUCGUUACCUUUUUUCUGAUUUUUUUUUGAAUGUGAAAGGAAACUUGACGAGAAAUUGAAGCUAAAAAUGGAAAAGAAGAAAAUCGGUUUCUCUGCUUUCCUCUCCAUUUUUAUUCCCAUAAUUUGUCCCAAAUUCUUUGUCCAAAAGCUCUUUUGAUUAUCAUUCCCAAACUUGCGUGUGUGUGUGAGUGUAAUGGCUGCUUCAUUUCUUUGGAGAAGAAACCAUGGCUGAGGCUGCGUCGAAGAAGAACGACGGGGUCUGUUUGCUUGUGCCCAAAAAUGUGGCGGAUCCGAUUUGUUUAGGGGUCUUUUUGUUUUCUAUGAAGAAGAAGAAACGUGAGGGAGGGGGUCUGUGAAAGAGACGGGAAUCUGGGGGGGGGNNNN
rnacentral:lncRNA from 1 species